rnacentral:ribozyme from 13 species
UUGUAAUGCUUGACAAUUAACAAAAACAACUUGAAUAGGUUUAAAAUCCAUUGUUGCUAUUCCAGUUGAAAUCCCACCACUGCCUUGUGGUCCUCGAUAUGGUCUUUGAUAUGUGAAAGAAAACCAAUCUUGAUCACUCACUUGGACAGCAGAUACUCUUCUCAUAUGUUUGGAGUGUUUUAAGUGUUGAGCGUGUU